rnacentral:rRNA from 1 species
UACGUAGGUGACCAGCGUUGUCCGGAUUUACUGGGCGUAAAGAGCGCGCAGGCGGUCGUUCAAGUCGAGUGUGAAAGCCCCCGGCUCAACUGGGGAGGGUCAUUCGAUACUGAUCGACUGGAAGGCAGGAGAGGGAAGCGGAAUUCCCGGUGUAGUGGUGAAAUGCGUAGAUAUCCGGAGGAACACCGAAGGCGAAGGCAGUGUCCUGGCGAGUAUCCUGACGCUGAGGUGCGAAAGCCAGGGGAGCGAACGGG